UUAUCCGAGUCUAAGUUCCAAACGACUAAUGUGAGAUUUGCGAAUGCUUGGCACAACUUGCUCGAUGACAAAGUAACUGUUUUUCCUAAAGCUAAGAGAAAUGGGUUUGUCCAGGUGUAACUCCCAGAUAUUCAGCUUCGAAAAUAGAAAAGUAAAGUCGGUGAGUGGAACGAUGGAUGACAAAAAGGAAUUGGAGAAGAUGAACUCGAAUGUCACAAUUUGGGAGAGAAUAUUCAGCGACAAUAGACUGCUAAAUUGCCGCCAGACUAAACCCCGAUAUGUAUUUCAUCGCUGGAGACAUGAGGUGAAAAAUGCUGAAGGGACCAAGCUGUUUCGCUCUGGACUAUAUUUGGAGACAGAGAGGGUCUGGGCAAAGGAAAGUGUGUGAGAUGACGUCUUAUACACUACAAGGAAGUUAUAUCACAAGGUAACUGUAAGAGCACCGUUUUCAAGGACUAUCCAUGUUCUUUCUGUUCACGUGGCAAUCAUCAGUGGACUGGUUUGGACGGCAGUUAAUGGGCUUCUGGACGUUUCAUGUCCAUCAAAAUGAGUGAAAUCGAAGCAGUCCAUUUCCAUCUUCUUUCUGCACUCCGACCGAAGUUCGUAUUUGGUGGGGACGC